ACAGUCUCGUAUGCUAAUAUGUGGAAGGCUAAAAAGGAAGCGAUCUCUGCAAUCUU
rnacentral:sRNA from 1 species